UACAGAGGGUGCGAGCGUUAAUCGGAAUUACUGGGCGUAAAGCGUGCGUAGACGGUUACGUAAGUCGGGUGUGAAAGCCCCGGGCUCAACCUGGGAAUUGCAUUCGAGACUGCGUAGCUAGGGUGCGGAAGAGGGAAGCGGAAUUUCCGGUGUAGCGGUGAAAUGCGUAGAUAUCGGAAGGAACAUCAGUGGCGAAAGCGGCUUCCUGGUCCAGCUCCGACGUUCAGGCACGAAAGCGUGGGGAGCAAACAGG
rnacentral:rRNA from 1 species